GCAACAGUUACCACAGGGUCCUGGCGGCAGCUCCUGCGUCCCCUCCACCGCCCCUCCCUGCAGCCACCUCACAUUGUGAGGGCUGCUGUGUUUGAGCCCCUCUGCAAGCUCAGGGGGCAGAAAUCAUGGCCUGCAGCGUCACCUUGCCCCCGCCUACCCUGGCACCCAAAGAACCCAGUGUUCACAGUGUCGACCCACACCUCCCGCUGCCAGCUGGAGCCCGAGGACUCUGGGGACAGUAGACGGCUCUGCACGCCACCAUAACGUGAGAACAUGUCACUGUUGGUCCAAACCCAGAGGGAGCAACACCUAGAGUGAGCCCUCACUGCCCUGGUCACGGGGAUUGCGAUGCGCCAGCGUGGCCCUGGGUCCCCACCCGUGUGCCACUCUGGUGGGGACGGAGCAGGGGAGGCUGGAGGGGGCAGGGGGCGUGGGAAGUCUGUGCCUUCCUCCCAGUUCUGCUGAGAACCACAAAACUGCUCUUUAAAAAGUCUAUUAGAAAGAGUUUCCCCAGCCCAGCAGGUGUCUGGGGCCGGCCACCCUGGGCAGGGCUGUGACCCUCCAGGUGCGGUCUCUGGGUUGUGAAAAUCACAGGUGUCUCCAGGCGCAGCCUGGUGUGUGUAUGGGGACCCUGGUCAUCUCUGCUGACUCUGUGACUGUAUGGUGAUUUCCUGGAGGGUUCCGGGGAUCCUGCUGUAAUUUCCUGCUGGUUCUGGGCGUCCUGGCACCUGGACCUGGCUGCACACAAUCCUUCGCUGAUUCUGGGGACUCUGAACAAUGUAGGCUGAUUUCCUGAGCCUGCCUCAGUGAUCCCGCCUUGUGUAGAGACCCGACCACGUUCAUGCGUUUAUUAGGGCAGAAUCUUGCUAACUUGCUAAGGCUGGCCUCAAACUUGCGAUCCUCCUGCCUCAGCCUCUGGAGCCUCUGGGAUGACAAGGGUGCCAUAUUGAUCCUGGCCACAGCUCAGCUUUCUAGUGGGAUUCCAGGAGGUGUAUCACUGCAGGUGUUCUGCCAUGCACACACACGAUGCUACAGUCCAGCUGUGUUUUAACAAGUCAGUGCCCAUGGGGAGACACACAGCACAGGUCAACAGGACUUUUUGAAUUAAAAAAAAAAAAAAUUGUCAGAUGAAAAAACAAAACAAAAACCAAAGGACUUCAGAAGGGUAUUUCUGCGCUGUGGUCACAAGAGGGAGCCCAAGAUACACGUCAAGCUCCCGCGGCCUCUAGAGGGCGGUCUCCGGACCUCAUCGCUGCCCACCUGGACCUCACACUCCUCCCGGGGCCUCCCUACCUCAUCUGGAACAGGGAAGAGAAAGUGCCUGCGAUGAGUCCCCUGAGCAGCCCAGGAGACAGGGAAAAAGUGUGGAGCUCCCAGAAACCGUGGAAGCAGCCCUGAGGAGGGAAAGGAGAUGGAAGUGAGAAGUUAAGUCUAAAAUAACCCAGUGAAGAGAUUCCCAGAGCCAGCAUUCCAUCUGCACCCCUCGGGAGCCUGUCCCCCCGCCCGAGGUCUACCCACCCAUCCAAGCACCUCCCUGUCUCCUGGACGCGGGGACCUCCCAGCCGCUCUGUCCACACCGAUGUUCCCCCUCUAAUGACGGCUAUGGUGCCGCAGUCCAGGUAGCACAGAGCGUUGGCCCUGGGUCGAAAUGCAGCUCCGUUCAAGCCCAGCGCCACUCGGACUCAUGAACCCCAGAGCCUCGGUGUGCUCAUCUAGAAACGGGUCUGACAAUGACACCCUCACAGACACCUUCACGAAGCUGUGAGAGUUGGUGGAACUGUCCAUGGGGGACUGGAGCAGUGCUGGGCGCACAGUACCGGCUCAGAACGUGUGAGCUGCUGUUCGCCUCCCUUCCCGCUACUCCCCUUCUCCACUGCUCCUUCCUUGCAGAGCUGGGGGUGAACCAGGCCCUGUGCGUGCGGGUCCUGCGCAGGGCCACUCAGCAACGCCCCCAGCCUGCUGUUCUUUCCUGCCUUCUGCAAGUCUGUCUCCACGAAGGGUUCCUGCAGAUAUAUUUAGACAAAAAUAUGA